ACUCAUCCGCGUACGUUUCCCGCUGUUGCGUCACUUGAUUGACGGCGCUUACUCUCUCUCUCUCGCUCUCGCUUUGCGCUUCGAGUUUGAUUUGUCUUUGGUUUCCUUUUCCAUUUCUGAAAUGCCAUUAAAACACAAACACAAAAUUAGAGAGUAAUUAAAAACACGUAAAUAUAUAUAUAAUAAUCUCUCAAAAUCCAUCCCAGUCGAUUUUCCCCUUUCCCUCCAACACUCAAAAACCUACCUCUUUCUCUCACAUCCUUCAAUUCUGCUUCUCUCCCGCUUACCCAUGGAGAUGGAGGAUCCGAAUCGCCUUCUUCGACCGUCUCAAUUCGAGUUCCAGCUGCUGCACUCUCAUUCACAGACUCAGAAUCAUCAGAACCAUCCGAGCUAUCUGCUUCCGUCUUUGCCUUCCUCUCAACGUCUUCUUCCCCACUCAUUUCCUGCUUUCGCUCCUUCCAUCGACUCCGGCCACCACUGCCUCUCCGAUAGCGCUUUUGCUUCUCACGCGGACGCCCAUUAUGCUUUUGCUAAGCUGGCGUUGAGACCAAAGAAGGAAAUAGAUGAUGCGGCUCAGAUUGGUGGGCAUGAAGCUGCUGCUGGACCGAGCAAGGUACUUCAGGAUCCGUCGUUAUCUAUACCACAGUCCUGCACGGGUAGAAAACAUAACCCUAAGUCAAAGGUUCCUAAGCAUACGAAAGCUGGGACUCAAAGAUCAACUGCGGAUUCUCAUAAUGGUCUGAAUCCAGCUAUUGGUUGCCGCUAUGACAGCUCUUUAGGCUUGUUAACCAAGAAGUUUGUUAGUUUAAUUCAGGAGGCCAAGGAUAGAACCCUUGAUUUGAACAAAACGGCAGAGGUGUUGGAGGUUCAAAAGCGGAGGAUAUAUGAUAUUACGAAUGUUCUUGAAGGAAUAAAUUUGAUAGAGAAAACUUCAAAGAAUCAUAUACGCUGGAAGUGUUAUGAUGGGUCGACACCAGGGGAACUAGAUGAUCAAGUUUCUAGAAUACAGGAUGAAGUUGAAAGUUUAUAUGCUGAAGAAUGCAGGCUUGAUGAUGCUAUAAGGGAAAAGCUAGAGCUUCUGAGGGCCCUGGAGGAAGAUGAAAAGAAUAAAAAGUUCCUAUUUUUGACGGAGGAAGAUAUUUUGAGCCCUCGUUGCUUCCAGAAUCAAACACUUAUUGCAAUAAAAGCUCCCCAAGCUAGUUAUAUUGAAGUUAUUGAUCCUGAUGAUGAGGAGGAUACUUGUUUUCCCCAAAAGCAGUUUAGAAUGAUCGUCAGAAGCACUAUAGGACCUAUACAUUUGUACCUUUUGAGCAAAUACCACGGGCAACGUGAGAAUAUUGCUGUUAAGCAAGCUAAAUCAAUGGGUUCAUCUUCUUGGAAUAGUAGUGAUUAUUCCAGAGUGGAAGGCGGAGGGCUUUCUUCAUACCAUCAGGGUAAUAAAAAGGACAGUUCUGAAAUUCUAAGCUUACCAGGCUCAGAGGCAUCUUCUGGGAUUCAGAAGAUUAUUCCUUCACACGUCAAUGCCAAUGACGAUUAUUGGUUUAGAUCAGAGCAUGAAGUCAGCCUGACAGAUCUAUGGGCGAAUGAGGACUGGACCCAGAGCAAAUAACCUCUCCUUCAAGACAAUUCUGGGAAGAGUGGUGCAGCAUUGGCCAAUGGACAUUGACCGUAGUGUAAAUGGGAAUCAGUAAAAUCCAUAGUUGCUGCUGGAAAUUUGUUACAACGUACGGCGAGGAUGCCAUUUAGAUGGCUGCCUAUAACCAUCUAAUCUAUGCAACCUAUGUGGGUCAUGUGAAGGCAGACGAAUAACCGGUUUCAGUCAAACCAGACCCUCAUUUGGCAAUUUUAGGCCCUAUU